rnacentral:lncRNA from 10 species
AGACCUUCUAAUCUUGGGUCUUUUUUGAUGACUUCUUGAAUGUUAAAUAUAGACAGAAUUGCCUAUACUCUUUUUUGCUCCUUCUCCUUUCUAUUUCUGGGUGGGUGGGUUGGUAUAGAAUUCCUUUAGGUCUGUUUGAAUGGUAAUCCAAGCCCUAUUAGGUAAGAUCCAACAGCCUCUUAUUUAUUUUUUAAAACUUAUUUAUUUAUUAUUCAUUUGAUUUUUCUUUUCUUUUCUUUUUUUUUUUUUUGUAGAGAUGAGGUCUGAUAUGGUUUGGCUCUGUGUCCCCACCCAAUCUCAUCUCUAAUUGUAAUCCCCACAUCUCUAGGAAAGGACCUGUAAUACCCAUGUGUGGAGGGAAAAGGUGAUUGGAUCACGGGGGUGGUUUCCUUAUGCUGUUCUCAUGACAGUGAGUGAGUUCUUACGAGAUCUGUUGGUUUUAUAAGUGUUUGGAAGUUCUUCCUCCACUUCUCUGUCUCCUGCUGCCUUGUGAAGAAGAUGCCUGCUUCCCCUUCUGCAUGAUUGUAGUGGCAAACCACUGAAGGAUGUAAACAAGAGAAAAACCUGGACCACCCUUGAGAUGUAAAAAGAUGACUUCAAAAAUUUUUAUAGAGGACAGAUUGCACUUGGAUGGAGUUGGAUGUAGAGAUACCAAAGGAGAGACAAUGAAAUCUUAAACUUGAGACACAGUAAUGAGAAAAGAAGAAGGGGAUGAAGAGGAGACCUAUUGUGUCCGAAAUUGAUGGGUUCUUGGUCUCACUGACUUCAA